rnacentral:rRNA from 1 species
CCUACGGGAGGCAGCAGUGAGGAAUAUUGGUCAAUGGGCGCGAGCCUGAACCAACCAAGUAGCGUGAAGGAUGACUGCCCUACGGGUUGUAAACUUCUUUUAUAAAGGAAUAAAGUGAGGCACGUGUGCCUUUUUGUAUGUACUUUAUGAAUAAGGAUCGGCUAACUCCGUGCCAGCAGCCGCGGUAAUACGGAGGAUCCGAGCGUUAUCCGGAUUUAUUGGGUUUAAAGGGAGCGUAGAUGGGUUGGUAAGUCAGUUGUGAAAGUUUGCGGCUCAACCGUAAAAUUGCAAUUGAUACCGGCAGUCGUGAGUACAGGUGAGGUAGGCGGAAUGCGUGGGGUAGCGGUGAAAUGCGUAGAUAUCACGAAGAACUCCGAUUGCGAAGGCAGCUUACUAAGCUGCCACUGACAGUGAGACUCGAAAGUGUGGGUAUCAAACAGGAUUAGAUACCCGGGUAGUG